GACGGGCAUGGUAUGCCAGGUAUGGAUCGGGUUGACAGCCUUGCAGAGCACCUGGUAGAACUGAGGACACAGACCUCCAUGACUCUCAGCAACCAGCAGGGAAGCACAAUUGUGGCCCUGUGGCAAAACCUGCUGGACGUUGACAGAGGGCCCAGCAAUCUACAGUGAGCUGGUCACUGCCGGAGGCCCCGCUGGAGUCUGAGCUGAAGGAGUUUCUGGUGAAUCUGUGUGCUGUAAAUCAUUUUGUCUGAUGUUGCAGGGAAUCAGACCCAAUGACAAACAUUAAGAAUAGUAUUAUCUUCUUCAAAUGAUUUGUUCUUGUUGUUUCACGUGUUCCAGGCCCAAAGACAAUAAAGUUAAAUCUUUAAUAUCA